UUGUGACCCGGAAUCAUGGUGAUCUAAAAGAGCCCUGUGACUCUGGGAAAUUUGUUAUCAAAGGAUGUUAGCCACAAGUCCUGUUGGCAAAUGGACCCCAGGUGGCCUGCAGUGCCAAGCUGUUUCCCUGCCAGCCUCCCAGUCUGGCCCUGACUCUCCAAUUCAAUGAAGAGCCAUUGGAGGAUUUUAAAUAAGGAACCGAAAAAUGGAGUCUGAAAAUAGAGGCGCAGAGACCGGACAGCACUGAGUUCAAUGUCUCACAAUUGCUGUACUCUCCUCUCCCCGUGACCAGAGACACUCUCUGAACCGUGCUGCAGCUGCCAGAAGGAUGGGAGUGGGAUGGUGUCAGGAUUCAAGGCUAUGUUUUCUACCUCUUCAGUGCCUCUUUCAGUGAUACGAAGUUAAAACCAGGUUCUUCCCCAAACCAUCAUGGACCAGUUGGACUCUGAGAAGAAAAGUUUCUGAUCUUUAGUUCAUUCUUCCAACUCUCUAGAAAGCAGGAAAACUGAGAAUGAAAAAUUCUAAAUUACUCAGGACUCAUGGGUUGCCAAUAGAAGAAAUACAUCUUAAACUAGCUUAAGCCUGAAAGGGAAAUGUAUUUGUUCAUGUAACUGAACCAUAACGAAGGAUGGUGGACUGAGGGACCUGAAAACACCCUCAGGACUCCCUCCCUCUCCUUUGUGCUCCUGUCUGAUGCCGUCUUCCCAGACCUGCUCACUCUCCAUAAGGUGGGGAUGUGGCCAUCAGCAACGUGUACUUCCCCGAAGCUUGUGACCUGAGUAGAUAGGCAUCUCCCAACCCACAAGGAUUGAAAAGUUCCUCUAGGAAUUAUGUGGAUUGGCCCAUUCACUAUGACAUGUUCCCCCUAAGCAGCUAAAGGAACUGGGUCUGUUACCAGAAGAGGUGGGAGAGGGGUGCUAGGCAGAUUGAACAACAGCCACUACAACAUCUGAGGAGGAGACCUCCGUGAAGGCCACCAAGUCUGCUAGCAGAUAUUUCCUCCCUCGGAUCUCUCUCCCUGUCCUCACAGUCUCAUAAGUGAGGAUUAAAUACUACAUGUGGCCUAGGAGAUCUUAGACCCUCCACACGAAGAUAUAGUAACAAUCAACAUCCUAGUGUUCUGGCAGAGAAAAAAUCAGAAAGAAUCGUUUGCCUGAUUUUUCCAUCAAUACCAAUAAUUAAUUAGAGAUGAAAUUUGUGAUGGACUCAGAGAAUUAGAGAAGAUCUAAGGGAAUCUAGAUGAUUUCCUACCCCUAACCAGAGCCUCACAAAAAAGGGUGAAGAUCUAUGGCCGUCUUGCGUUUGGUGUGAGGCUGGACAAGGAAGUUCCUAAGGUCCUUUAGACUCUGUGAGAUCAUGAGUCCGUAAAACCCUUCCAACUUGAAAUUAGUUGAUUCCUUCCUUAAAUUUUCUGGGACAUUCCCCCACUCCCUCCACUCUUAUUAGCUGAUUUUACUGACCAAUAGGCCUUGAAGUUGGGCGUUCCAUCUAGAUGUCUCACAUCAACUCACCUUUUGCAAAUUAAGCCCAUACCCUUAAAGAGGGGAAUUCUCAAGCCAUUAGAAACUAGAGAGUCAGCUGGGCAUGGUGGCUCACGCCUGUAAUCCCAGAACUUUGGGAGGCCAAGGUGGGUGGAUCACUUGAGGUCAGGAGUUCGAGUCCAGCCUGACCAACAUGGCGAAACCCCGUCUCUACUAAAAAUACAAAAAUUAGCCAGGGGUGAUGGCAUGCACCUGUAAUCCCAGCUACUCAGGAGGCUGAGGCAGGAGAAUUGCUUGAACCUGGGAGGCGGAGGUUGCAGUGAGCCAAGUUUGCACCACAGCACUCCAGCCUGGGCAACAGAGUGAGACUCAGUUUCAAAAAACAAAAGAACAAACAAACAAAAACUAGAGGGUCUCCUCUUAGUUCUUAAACCCUCUUAGUCAACAUUUGUGAGCCUCUUUUCUGUAUGUUUUGGCAUCUUUAUUCCUUUCCUUCGUGUCUUGACCAAAUUCACCAGAUCAUGACUCAGAACAAAAUCCUGAGGUUGAAUAUAGAGGUCUAGAACAUCUUCAAAUUAACUGUUUCUCCUCAUAGAGAAUUAAAGAAAUUGAGAAAGCAA
ensembl:lncRNA SMIM2-AS1 SMIM2 antisense RNA 1